rnacentral:rRNA from 1 species
CCUACGGGAGGCAGCAGUGAGGAAUAUUGCGCAAUGGGGGAAAACCCUGACGCAGCAACGCCGCGUGGGUGAAGAAGGCCUUCGGGUCGUAAAGCCCUUUCGGACGGGACGAACGCUCCGCGGUGACAACCCGCGGAGUCUGACGGUACCGUAAGAAGAAGCACCGGCUAACUCCGUGCCAGCAGCCGCGGUAAUACGGAGGGUGCAAGCGUUGUUCGGAAUUACUGGGCGUAAAGCGCGUGUAGGCGGCCUUGCAAGCCAGACGUGAAAGCCCUCGGCUUAACCGGGGAAGUGCGUCUGGAACUGCUUGGCUUGAGUACGGGAGAGGGAGGCGGAAUUCCCAGUGUAGAGGUGAAAUUCGUAGAUAUUGGGAGGAACACCGGUGGCGAAAGCGGCCUCCUGGACCGAUACUGACGCUGAGACGCGAAAGCGUGGGGAGCAAACAGGAUUAGAUACCCUGGUAGUCCACGCGGUAAACGAUGGGCACUAGGUGUGGGGGGUAUCCACUCCUCCCGUGCCGAAGCUAACGCAUUAAGUGCCCCGCCUGGGGAGUACGGCCGCAAGGUUAAAACUUAAAGGAAUUGACGG